CCUACGGGAGGCAGCAGUGAGGAAUAUUGGUCAAUGGGCGCAAGCCUGAACCAGCCAAGUCGCGUGAGGGAAGACGGCCCUACGGGUUGUAAACCUCUUUUGCCGGGGAGCAAGCCUGCGCACGUGUGCCCCUGCGGAUAGUACCCGGAGACAAAGCCUCGGCUAACUCCGUGCCAGCAGCCGCGGUAAUACGGAGGAUGCGAGCGUUCUCCGGCUUUAUUGGGUUUAAAGGGUGCGCAGGCGGGCUGUUAAGCCGGCGGUCAAAAUUCAGGGCUCAACCCUGUCGAGCCGUCGGAACUGGCAGCCUUGAGUGGGCGAGAAGGAGGCGGAAUGCGUGGUGUAGCGGUGAAAUGCAUAGAUAUCACGCAGAACGCCGAUUGCGAAGGCAGCAUACCGAGCCCGACUGACGCUGAGGCACGAAAGCGUGGGGAUCGAACAGGAUUAGAUACCCCAGUAGUC
rnacentral:rRNA from 1 species